rnacentral:lncRNA from 1 species
AGUUCGCCAGGCAGGAAGUGCAGUAGCAGGACUCUGGCUUUCCGGAGAGUCUCUGUUUUUCCUUUUUUUUUUUCCCUUUUCGCCCAAUAAAUACCAUUUUUCUCACCCUUCAAAGUGUCUGCAAGCCUAAUAUUUCAUGGAUGUUUGACAAGGACCCCGUCUUUAGCUGAACUAAGGAGAAAGUCCUGCAACACACACAUGGAGCUCAGCAAACGGAGGAUGUAACGCACAUGAAAUUUGGUGCUGUGACUCGGAUUGGGGGACCUCCCUUGGGAGAUCAAUCCCCUGUCCUCCUGUUCUUUGCUCCAUGGGAAAGAUCCACCUACGACCUCAGGUCCUCAGACCGACCAGCCCAAGGAACAUCUCACCAAUUUUAAAUCGGGUAAGCGGCCUCUUCUUACUCUCUUCUCCAAGCUCUCUCACUGUCCCUCAACCACUUUCUCCUUUCCACUCUUCAAUCUUUCCCUUCUCUUAAUUUCAAUUCCUUUCAUUUUCUGGUAGAGACGAAGGAGACACGUUUUAUCUGUGGACCCAAAACUCCGGUGUCGGUCACGGACUAGGGAAGGCAGCCUUCCCUUGGUGUUUAAUCAUUGCAGGGAUGCCUGAUUAUUCACCCAAGUUUCAGAGGUGUCAGACCAUGCAGGGACGCCUGUCUUGGUCCUUCACCCUUAGCAGCAAGUCCCGCUUUUCUGGGGAAGGGGCAAUACCCCAACCCCUUCUCUCCAUGUCUCUACCCCUUCUUCACCUUUCUGGGGGGCAAGAAACCCCCAACCCCUUCUCCUUCACCCUUAGCGGCAAGUCCCGCUUUUCUAGGGGAGAGGCAAAUACCCCAACCCCUUAUAUCUCUGCGCCCCAUCCCUUAUUUCCCCACCCCAACCCCUUAUAUCUCUGUGCCCCGAUCCCUUAUUUCCAUGCCCCAACCUCUUAUAUCUCUGCACCCCAAUCCCUUAUUUCCGCGCCCCAACCUCUUAUAUCUCUGCACCUUUGUGCCCCAACCCCUUCUCUGCUUUUCUGGAGGGCAAGAACUCCCCACCCCUUCUCCGUGUCUCUACUGUUUUCUCUGGGCUUGCCUCCUUUACUAUGGGCAAGCUUCCACCUUCCAUUCCUCCUUCUUCUCCCUUAGCCUGUGUUCUUAAGAACUUAAAACCUCUUCAACUCUCACCUGACCUAAAAUCUAAGCAUCUUAUUUUCUUCUGCAAUGCCGCUUGACCCCAAUACAAACUCGACAGUAGUUCCAAAUAGCCAGAAAAUGGCACUUUCAAUUUUUCCAUCCUACAAGAUCUAAAUAAUUCUUGUCAUAAAAUGGGCAAAUGGUCUGAGGUGCCUGACAUCCAGGCAUUCUUUUACACGUCGGUCCCUCUCUAGUCUCUGUUCCCAAUGCAACUCAUCCCAAAUCUUCCUUCUUUCCCUCCCACCUGUCCCCUCAGUCCCAACCCCAAGCGUCACUGAGUCUUUCUAAUCUUCCUUUUCUACAGACCCAUCUGACCUCUCCCCUCCUCCCCAGGCUGCUCCUCGCCAGGCCGAGCUAGAUCCCAAUUCUUCCUCAGCCUCCGCUCCUCCACCCUAUAAUCCUUUUAUCACCUCCCCUCCUCACACCCGCUCUGGCUUAGUUGGUCUGGCUUAGUUUCAUUCCGUGACUAGCCCUCCCCUACCUGCCCAGCAAUUUGCUCUUAAAAAGGUGACUAGAGCUAAAGGCAUAGUCAAGGUUUAAUGCUCCUUUUUCUUUAUCCCAAAUCAGAUAACAUUUAGGCUCUUUUUCAUCAAAUAUAAAAAACCCAGCCCAGUUCAUGGCUCGUUCGGCAGCAACCCUGAGACGCUUUACAGCCCUACACCCUAAAAGGUCAAAAGGCCGUCCUAUUCUCAAUAUACAUUUUAUUACCCAAUCUGCUCCCGACAUUAAAUAAAACUCCAAAAAUUAAAUUCUGGCCCUCAAACCCCACACCAGGAUUUAAUUAACCUCGCCUUCAAGGUGUACAACAAUAGAAAAAAGUUGCAAUUCCUUGUCUCCACUGUGAGACAAACCCCAGCCACAUCUCCAGCACACAAGAACUUCCAAACGCCUGAACCGCAGCGGCCAGGCGUUCCUCCAGAACCUCCUCCCCAGGAGCUCGCUACAAGUGCCAGAAAUCUGACCACCAAGCCAAGGAAUGCCUGCAGCCCAGGAUUCCUCCUAAGCCGUGUCCCAUCUGUGCAGGACCCCACUGGAAAUCGGACUGUUCAACUCACCUGGCAGCCACUCACAGAGCCCGUGGAACUCUGGCCCAAGGCUCUCUGACUCCUUCUCGGCUUAGCGGCUAAAGACUGACACUGCCCGAUCGCCUCGGAAGCCCCGUAGACCAUCACGGACGCCGAGCUUUAGAUGAAGAAACUGAGGUCCAGAGAAGUUAAACGACCUUCCUAAGAUUACACAGCUUAGUAAGUGGCAGAACCACAGCUGGAAGCCAGGUCCUUCCUCACGCAAGUCCUGGCUCAUUCAUUCCUCUUCCAAAGACUUGCUGAGCACCUUCUAGGUGCCAGAUGCGGUGCUGGCUCCUGGGGACAUGGGAGUGAACAGGCCAGGCGUGGCCCUGAACCAUCAAAUAGACAACCACAGAAAUAACAACGUGAGUUAAAAUGAGAUUAUGAAGAAGAGACACAGGUUUCUACAAUGGUUUAGUAGAGGGAUCUCUAACCAAGUUUGGAGAGUUGAGAAAGUCUCUAUGAGGCAGUCACAUCCAUGUAAGCUAAGAUCUGAAAGACAAAAGUUGUUAUCCAGGAGAGUGGCAGCAGGGAGAGCAUUCCAGAUGCAGGGAAUAGCUUGGCACGUUUGUGGAAGAGAAAAAUCUGUUAACGUGAUUGUAGGGUAGGGUGGAAAAAAGGAGAAAUGGAGCAAGAUGAGGCUAGGGAGGCAGGCAGGGACCAGACUACGAACUGCCUUAAAGCUCUGCUUAAAAAUGUUUGCCACGAUUUGAAGAGUAAUGGGAAGCCUUGAAGGUUUUUAACCAGAAGAGUCUUAUAUUUAGAUUUGUUAUUUUUUAAAUAUCACACUGGCUGCUGUUUAGGAAUGAUGCUGGAGGCUGACGAAGAUAAGGGUGGAAAGUGGGCAAUAAAUCAGGAGCUGUUGCAACAUUCCCAGCAAAGGAUAAUGGUGAAUGUAAUGGCAAUGGGGAUUUGGGGAAGCAGGGGGGCCUCGUGGCUGAUUGGAUGUGGUGUUGGUGAGGGAGGAGGGGUCACAGAUUUCCAUCCUCCCAUGGGUGUUUCUAUCUCCCAGGCUAGGCUUCUUGUGUUUGCUUUCCUUCUUGCAGAACAAAGACAAAACCGGGCCCUUCCACACAGUAGCUGGAACACAAAGGAAGAUCAGCCAAGCCUCAACAUAAUCUCAUAAAAAUUCUUCAAAUAUCCCAUUGUUAUGGAUUCAUACAUCAGGAAAGCAGAUGCCAAGAACCUGAACACCUUCUACUGGUAACAUAUAUUUUGGCGAGCCAGCCUGGAGACAAGACCACUAUGGGCAACUUCCUGUCUAUUCUACCUGGUGUCACUGUGGACAACUUCCUAUCUAUUCCACCCGAUUCACCGCUUGGCUACAUCCUCCACCAUUGGGAUGAAUUUGACCCUAACAAUCUAAAGAAAAGGCAUAUGAUUUUUUACUGCAAUAUUGUUUGACACAAUUAUGAGCUGCCCAAUCCGGAACAAUGGGCAGUCAAUGGUAGCCUUAAUUAUGAUACCAUCCUGUAUCUAGACCUAUUUUACAAGAGGCAGGGCAAAUGGUCAGAAGUCCCACAUAUACAGGCCUACAUGACCCUAUACGAAGACCUAAGAAUCUAGGAAACUCCCAGAACCCAUCCCCCGAAGGAAAGUUCUGGGGCAGAACUAGAUAUUAUAGAUGAACCCCCUUUUACAAGGGAUACCUGUCUCUCAGAGUGAGCAGUGACUGUCCCCAUAUAACCCCUCACCAAGUGCUCCUGAGGCUGAAACCCAGGGGCAAACAUGGGGAACCCUACUAAGUCCCCCUCACACUUGGAGGGGAACACUGUAUUCAACUCUCUAUCCAGCCCUGCUACUCUCAGAGAAAUAGCAGGGGCUGAGGGGCCAAUCCUAGUGUGGGUCCCCUUCUCUAUGAUUGAUAUACAACAAUGUAAGGAAAAGCUAGGAAGCUAUUCUGAGGAUUCCGGGAAGUUUGCAGAUGGGUUCCAAACUUUGACCUUAGCCUUUGAUCUCUCAUGGAGAGACGUUCAAUUCACUCUAGCAACCUGUUGCACCUCCUCGGAAAAGGAACGAAUCUUUGAGGCUGCCCUCCGAGAAGUGGACGAAUUAUUCACCCAAAACCGUAAAGGCAGUCACCCAGGCCCAGCCACAGUUCCCACUACGCAUCCUAAUUGAGACCAAGACACCCCCGCAGGAAGGAACAACUGGGCUAAAUUUCUUGAGGCUCUUGGAGGAAUGAGAAAGGGAAUAACUAAGGCAGUAAAUUAUGAUAAAGUAAGGCAGAUUACACAAGGCAGGGAGGAAAACCCAGCUGUGUUUUACGGCAGGCUGCGGGAAGCCUUUAAAAAAUAUAUACUAAUUUGGUCCCUUCCUCUCCUGAAGGCAAGUUAUUAAUGGCACAACGUUUCAUUAGCCAAUCCACACCAGACAUUAGACGUAAGCUCCAAAAGCUACACAUGGGGCCACAAACUAACCAAAAUCAGCUUCUUGGUACUGCCUUCAUGGUGUAUAACAAUCGUGACCUGGAGGAAGGAGAAGGGAAACAGAGUAAAGAAAAACGGCAAGCCAAAAUUAUGUUAGCCAUCACUGGUGAUGCCCUAAAUGCACAAAGAUUGUCCAAGGGAAACUCAAAGGGCCAUAAGGAUAAUGCCAGCAAAGGCUCUUGCUUCAAAUGCAAUAAAAGUGCGAUUGGGCACAGGAAUCCACUAAGCCCCCGCCAGUCCCCUGCCGUCAAUGUAAAAGCACCAGUUGUGGCUCCUGGCCCUGGAGAAUUGACUGUCCCUGCUCCCACCAAGGGGCUCAGUCAGUCAAAACUCUGGCAGUGCACAAGGAGGAAUCAGAUGAAGACUGAAGGGGCCUGGGGCCUUCCUCACUGCCCCGUCUAGGAACAUUGUAAUUACUACUGAGGAACCCUGGGUAACUCUGGACAUCAUGGCCACCCAAAUUCAGUUUUUAUGUGAUACCAAGGUGAAUUAUUCUGUACAACUGCUUAUGCAGGAAAACUUUCCUCCCGGUCCAUGAGUGAUAUUGGAUGGAAGGGAAGCCACAAACAAGAUUCUUACUCCUCCUUUGGUUUGUCAAUUUGAGAAACAAAUCUUCCAACAGGAAUUUUUAGUAGUACCAAGCUGCCCAAUUCCCCUGUGGGAAAGAGAUAUUAUGGUGAAAAUAGUGACACUACUGCAAUUUAAGCAAUAUUAGCAGGUGAAACUGCUAAUAGUAAGAAAUAAGGCAAUGUCCCAGACCAUGUCAAUAAACAGGUUAACCCACUGGCAUGGUAUACUGGAAACCCAGGGAAGGCUAAAACAGCAGUGCCAGUCAAAAUACAGCUUAAAGACCCCAGCCAUUUUCCCAAUGGAAAACAAUACCCAGUUGAACAGGAAGCAAGCAAAGGUCUAGCUCCCAUAGUUGAGAUAUUACUUACCCAUGGACUCUUAAAACCCUGCAAUUCUCCCUGCAAUACCCCCAUCUUACCUGUUCUCAAGCCUGGGGGGAAUACCAGCUAGUACAGAACCUCAGAAUAAUGAAUGAGGCUGUUAUCCCCGUCCACCCAUUGGUGGCAGAUCCAUAUGCCCUCCUGGCUCAGGUGCCAGGGCAUGCAAAAUGGUUCUCAGUCCUAGACCUUUCUUCUCCAUUCCUCUGGCCCCGAGCCCCCCAGUACCUUUUUGCUUUCGAAUGGGAAAAUCCUAAUACCAGAUAAAAACAAUACACUUGGACAGUGCUUCCUCAGGGCUUUCGGGAUAGCCCCCACUUCUUUGCCUGAGCAUUAGAGCGGGAUCUGAGGGAUUUCAAGUUAGAAAAUGGAGGUAUUCUUCAGUAUGGGGAUGACCUUGUGUGUAGCCCAACCUAGGAGGUUUCUGACCAAAAUACUAUAAAAACUUUGAAUUUCCUGGCAGACAGAGGAUACAAAGUGUCCAAAAAGAAGGCUCAGAUUACCCUCCAAUGGGUCCACUAUUUAGGAUAUGUCUUAACACCCGGAACCCGGCAAAUAUCCCCAGAAGGAGUGCAAGCUAUAUGUGGUUUGGCCGCGUGCACCACCCCCAGCCCCCACCCUGACCCACCUCCAAGCAGCAGCUUUGUUCCUUUUUGGGGAUGGCCGGGCUUUGGAGAAUAUGAGUACCAAAUUUUGGGCUCAUAGCAAAGCCCCUAUAUGAAGCAACAAGGGGGCCUGAAAAUGAGCUAAUGGAAUGGACCCCGGAAAUGAGGAAAGCCUUUGCCAAGUUAAAACAGGUUCUCACCCAGGCUCCUGCUCUUGGUAUCCCAGACCUAAUUAAGGCCUUCUCCUUGUAUGUAGCAGAGAAGAGGGGCAUAGCUGUGGGAGUGCUAGCCCAGAAAUUAGGAUCAGAACCCAGACCAACCGCCUACUUCUCAAAAAAGUUGGACGGAGUGGCCUCAGGAUGGCCAAGUUGCCUGCGGGCAAUAGCAGCCACUGCUGUUAGUGGAGGAAGCCACUAAAAUCACCCUAGGGCAACCACUGGAAGUUCUAACGCUCCAUCAGGUAAAGUUAGUCUUAGAAAUAAAGGGACACAUCUGGAUGACAGGGGAAAUGUUAACUAAAUACCAGCCCAUGCUCCUAGACAAUCCAGAUAUAACUCUUAAAACCUGCAACACUUUAAAUCCAGCUUCAUUGCUGCCCACAGGCCCAAUAAUUGAUCAUUCCUGUGAGCAGGUCAUUGCACAUACAUAUGUUAGCCAGCCUGAUUUAAAAGAUGAGGCUCUCCCAGAUUCUGAAGCUGACCGGCUCACAGACGGCAGUAGUUCUUUGUCGAAUGGGGAGCACAGAGCUGGAUAUGCAGCAGUAAAUCAUGACACAAUUAUUGAAGCCCAGCCAGUGCCCCCUGGCACAUCAGCACAAAAGGCUAAAAUCAUUGAUCUUACUCAAGCAUUAAUGUUGGGACAAGGGAAAAAACUUAACAUCUAUACAGAUUCUAAAUAUGCAUUCCUUGUGGUUCAUGCUCAUACCGCCAUCAGGAAAGAAAGGGGAUUACUUACUAGCAAGCACUCCCCUAUAGAGCAUGGACCUGAAAUUCUGCAGCUAUUGAAGGCAAUACACCUGCCAAAGGCCAUAGCUAUCAUUCAUUGUAGGGGGCAUCAAAGGGACUUAACCCCUAUAGCACAAGGGAAUGGAAAGGCUGACGGAAGCCAAAGCAAAAGCCCUCAGCGUGCAAUCCCAACAGAUCCUAGCACUGCUUCCUUUCUACAAUUCCCCAGUAGAACCCAAAUACACACCACAGGAAGAACAGCUAAUAAAAAAAGCAAGGGAGACAAAAACAAGGAUCCUGGUGGCAUAUGGAGCCAAAAAUAUAUCUCCCUCAGGCAGCCCAGUGGAGAGUUAUAAAAGCCCUGCAUGACUCUUUCCAUGUGGGGAGGGAUGCGGCUCUGGCCAUGGUAAACAAGUUCUUUACUGGGUUUAACUCAGCUUCAAUGGCUAAGCAGGUCUGUCAAGCCUGCUCACUGUGUGCAUUUAACAAUCCAGGCAUCAAAAUGCCCCCUCUAAUAAAACCAGUCCAAAGGAGGGGAACUUAUCCAGGGGAAGACUGGCAGUUAGACGUCAUCCAUAUGCCAGCUUGCAGAGGAUACAAGCUUUUGUUAAUACUAAUAGAUACUUUUAGGUUGGGUCAAAGGUUACCCCAGAAAAGGCUAAUGAGGUUCUAAGGUCCUCUUAAAAGAAAUAAUUCCCCAGUUUGGGUUACCUCAGGGUCUCCAAAGUGAUAAUGGCUAAUCCUUUAUCUCCCAAAUAACUCAAGGGGUUGCUAAGGCUCUUGGAAUAAAAUACUAUUUACAUUCAGCCUGGAGGCCCCAAUCCUCUGGAAAAGUGGAAAGGGUUAACCAAACUCUAAAAUAAGCACUAGCUAAACUAUGUCAGGAAACAUCAGAAACUUGGGUUAGCUUAUUGCUCACAGCCCUUUUAAGAAUUUGUAAUACCCCUAGCUCAAAAAUUAACAGAAGCCCAUAUAAAAUGUUAUACAGAAGGCCAUUCUUAACUAAUGAUUUAAUUAUUGACCCAGAAAGAGUUGGUGUAAUUAAAUACCUAGUCAACCCAGAACAAUUCCAGCGGGUUUACAAGAGUUUGGAAUUCAAAGGCUCCUCACACUUGGAACUAACCAGCAACCCAAAAUCAGGCCAGGAGAUAGGGUACUUGUUAAAACAUGGAAUGAGGGAUCACCUGCCCAACAAUUACAACCCCAAUAGAAGGGACUUUUUUCAGUAAUACUGGCCACGUCUUCUGUGGUCAAAGUACUAGUAUUAGAUAGCUGGAUACAUCUUUCAAGGAUCAAACCAUCAAUACCAGAAGCUCCAGACCAGGAACCUGAAGUUCCCAUCAGCCAGUACACCUGUGAACCAGUGGAGGACCUGAAGUACCUGUUUAAAAGAUAGCCAAAAGAUAAGUAAAUGCCUACCAACUUUCUUUGGUGUCUUUGUUGCAUAGUUACUGUGGGCUGGAAAAUAGUAGCCAUUUUUAUCUUUGCAGUUUAAUUGCCUUCUUCCAAAUAGAUAAAAAUCACUUCCUUUGUAAUAAUUAAACAGAAUUUAAAAAAUACAUUUCUAUGACAAAUAUUCCUGAUGGCAUAAGUAUCCACCCCAAGGUUCCCAUUAAAUCUUUUAACCUAAAGUAUUUCCUCUCACCUAGAGAUCAUCGAGCUGUGUGACAAGGGUGCCAGCCACUCCAGGUGAAGACACCACCCCAGGCCAUCAAGGAUCUUCCCUACCUUCACUAAACAGAGCAGGGUGAAAGUUGUGUGAUCCCCAAUAGGUAGGGACUACACCCCAAGUCAGCAGGAAGCAGUUACAGAAGAAAGACCAUUGGUCCCUCUGCUUCCCAUAAAGAUUUAUGGGGAUCACAGCUUUCACGGGGGAGAUGAGGCAAGAGAAUAGGGCAUGCAGGCAGGGUACUUGAGGCCAAUCCACGCUGACUUCCUAGAACUGAAUUAAAUGAAAGCUCCUCAGCAAUGACAGGAAUGUGAAUGGCUUUGUAACUUCUUCCUCUCCAUUAAUGCUAUUUCCACUUUGUAACUUCACUUUCAUCCUCUCCAUUUACAUAGAUCACACACCAAGUAACAUCCUCUCCAUUUACAGUAGGGCGCAUUCCGAGUCAAUGACUCUGACUGCACUUCGUUCUCCUCAUUUACAUAGAACAUUCGCCAAGUAACCAAUGGGAAACCUCUAGAGUAUUGAAACUCCAGAAAAUUCCGUAAGUGGGGCUCUUGAGCGUCUACACUCGGGUCGCUCCCACACUGUGGCGUGUACUUUUAUUCUCAAUAAAUUCCCGCUUUUGCUUUCCUCGUUCUGUUUGAGUGUUUUGUCCAAUUCUUUGUUUGAGGCGCCAAGAACCUGGACACCUUCUACCAGUGACACUACCAAUUUUUGAUUCCAUUAAAGAUCACAGGUAUUUUCUGAACAUUUACCCUGUACCAGUCUUGCAGGGUCCAAACUCCUGUUAAAGAGCUUGUGGGCUAAUGGAGGGAGCAGGCAUGUGAACAAGCAAAUUAUGAAAUAGCGUGCAGAGUACAGCAGUAGAGAUGUAUUCUAGGAUCAGAGGUCACACAGAGGAGGGGUGCCUGAUUAACUGUGCAGGGAGAC